rnacentral:tRNA from 1 species
GCCCUGUUCGUCUAACGGUUAGGACAGCAGAACCUCAUUCUGAGAAUAGCGGUUCGAUUCCGCUACGGGGUGCCA